GCUCCCCUCCAAUCCCCUCCAACUUCCCAACACCCCUCAGGGACAGACAGCAGGCUGUUUCCCACCCCCUAGCUACAGCUGGUGCCUCCCACAGCUCUGCCCAGGAGCCUUGUCAAAGGCUCACAAGCGCCAUGGGAACCACCAUCCUGGCGAGAUAAGAUGAAGGCUGCGAUCAGGCUUUCAGAUUUGUAGUCUGAAGCCCAGCUUGGGUCCUGUAUGCCUCUUCUGACUAGAAGUCCAGGUGGCAUCUGUGAGGCCCACUGGUGUGUGACGUGUGCCGGCGUCCCAACCCUUUUCACAGCGGAACCACAUUCCACUGCAGGAAAUUCUGACACAUGCUACAACAUCAACCCCGGGGUUAAGAUGCUCAGUAAAAGAACCAGUGCUCUAGGCUCUACUUCUAUGAGGCCCUUGGAGGUAUCAUCAGCAGAGAGAAGGUAGAAGGGUGGGCGUCAGGGACUGGGGAGAGGGGCAAGGGAAUGGUUUAUUGGGAGAUGAGAAUGUGGCGAUGGUUGGUAACCACAGGAAGUGGGUAAUGUCUGCUGUGUUUACUUAUCACAACAGAAAAAGUCAAGGAAAACAGAUAGAAUUGACUGUAUUUAAAGACCAUAUUGUAUAAUCAGCCAUUUCCAGCACGAGUCCAGUGGAUGCCACGUUAGAAGGUAAACACAGGGUAAGGCAUUCCCAUGGCCACAGUGCCACUUCUGAGACCCUUACCAGUGACAGAAGGAAGCACAGUGGCUUCACGGUUGGGAGACCUGACAGGCCUUGCCCAAGGGACUACAACAACAGCAACAACACAGUGAAAGGCACACUUGAUAUUGCAUCCAAGUUUAUCUGAUCACCACUUAAAAGCCACUUUCCAAGAGCCAAGAGUUAGUGGGCAGGAGAUGGAGUUUACUCGAGGACUGUUACCCUGAGAGGCUGGAAAGCAAUCUUCCCUCAAAGGGUGGGAUGGGGGCAGAGUAUGGAGAGAUGGUUCAGUGGUUAAGAACACUUGUUCUUGCAGAGGGCCUAGGUUCAAAUCCCAGUACUCAUGUGGCA